GGAAUAAAAGUCGUAACAAGGUUUCCGUAGGUGAACCUGCGGAAGGAUCAUUCAUAAUAAAGUGUUUUAUGGCACUUUUUAAAAAUCCAUAUCCACCUUGUGUGCAAUGUUAGAUCUCGUCAAUCUUGGCGAGAUUUUUAUACAUCAACUCAUUCUUUAACUAAUUUGUCUGAAAAAUAUUUUGAAUACUUAAUUCAAAAUACAACUUUCAACAACGGAUCUCUUGGCUCUC
rnacentral:misc_RNA from 1 species